GCUCCUGUAGCUCAGUGGUAGAGCGUCAAACUGGUGUGUGGAAGAUCAUAGGUUUGACUCCUGUUGGGAGAA